rnacentral:rRNA from 1 species
UACGUAGGAGGCAAGCGUUGUCCGGAAUUACUGGGCGUAAAGCGCGUGUAGGUGGUGGGACAAGUCUGCUGUGAAAGCGCCUGGCUUAACCGAGCGAGGUCGGCGGAAACUGUUCGACUCGAGGACGGUAGAGGGGGGUGGAAUUCCUGGUGUAGCGGUGGAAUGCGCAGAUAUCAGGAGGAACACCGGUGGCGAAGGCGGGUCUCUGGGCAGUAACUGACGCUGAGGAGCGAAAGCGUGGGGAGCGAACAGG